UACAGAGGGCUCAAGCGUUGUUCGGAUUCAUUGGGCGUAAAGAGCGUGUAGGCGGUUUUGUAGGUCCGUUGUGAAAACUCGAGGCUCAACCUCGAGACGCCGGUGGAAACCGUAAAGCUAGAGUCCGGAAGAGGAGAGUGGAAUUCCUGGUGUAGCGGUGAAAUGCGCAGAUAUCAGGAGGAACACCGGUGGCGAAGGCGGUUCUCUGGGAAUGUCCUGACGCUGAGGAGCGAAAGUGUGGGGAGCGAACAGG
rnacentral:rRNA from 1 species